CAGAAGCGGCAAGCUCAAAAGGAGAAACUUUCAGCAACUAUGCAUAGUUAGUACCAACAAACAACUUGCAUUUGUUAUGGCAAAAAAAAAAUUCAAUCACAAAAGUUUCGUUCGAAAAUUGACGUAUCGAAACAAAAAAAAAUAAACUGCUUUCUUUUUCUCUUUACACAUACCUCUGAAAUUCUCCCUGAAAGUAUUUUAGCUAGCAAAUAUCUGCGGGGAGGAAAACUACAAGAUUGCCAGGUAUUAAAAAAGUGACCUAGAAAAGGAAUCCAUUUUAAAGGUGUUUUCUGAUAAUAAAACCAUAUUAAAAAGUCACUAAUAAGUGGUAUUAAAAGCUAUGGCAAGUUAGAGAAAAUCCAGUAAAAAAUCAUAAGUUAGUACAUCGCUAGAGUUAUCAGCCUCACUCAUUAACGUUAGAGCAUGUUGAAAUUUUUCUAAGUCAUUAUCGUUAGGCGCUUGAUGUAGUAGACCAAUUUCUGCAAAGCUAGUGUUUUCCCAUUCCUUACCCAACAUGGCUGUUGGAAUCUUCCCUCUAAAACAAUAAGAAUAAUGAGUCACAACGUGGAUGUACUAGCAAAAAUGUAUGGUUUGAACCAUAUAUUAGAAUAGUUGAAAAAAAAUUUUAGUAUCUCAAUGGUCAAAAAUAUGAAUAAAUAAUCGUGAGUUUUUUAGGUAUUCUUAAAUAAAACGACGGUGCCCUGCGUAGACAGAAUAUCAAAUAUACGUCCAAGAAAAGGCGAAAUAUUUAAUUGAAAAUUACAGAUAAUCUUUUAAAUAGCUUAAGGGAAGCAUUAACAAUCAAUUUCCUUUAAAACGUUUACUUUCGGACCUUAGUGAAGUAGAUAGUACGCGUUUGGAGGAAACCUCGGAAUCAUCUUCUGAAAUUCUCCUUUCUGGAUAAUGAAUAGGUUGAUUUAAAAAUGGGCUAAAAAGUGAGUUAGUAAAAGCUUAUUUCUUUCGAUGAUAAAUAGGAAAAGGAAGAACACGUACCUAGUGGUCCAUAAUUUAUCGGAAGUAAAAAAAACGUGUUCCAAAGCUUGCUUAGCAGUUAUGCGUGAUUUUGGAUCGUAUUGUAGCAUUUUCAUCAGUAGAUCUAACCCUUGCGGAUCCCGAUUUUUUACGGUUUGAUACCACUGAGGAAGCAAAUUAUUCCAGUAACGAACUUCAAAUGAUGAUAAUUGAUAGUACUCUGGAUAAUUUUUGAGACCUGGCCAGCGUUCUUCUGUUGGUGUG